rnacentral:misc_RNA from 1 species
AAAGUCGUAACAAGGUUUCCGUAGGUGAACCUGCGGAAGGAUCAUUAUCAAUGAUAUCCCAUCAUACACCGUGAACUUUUGGGGAUUAUCUUUUAAGAUCUUCCCCCACUAAACACUAUAAUUUUUAAACAGAGUCAAUUUAUGAAAAUAAUUUAGACAACUUUUAGCAACGGAUCUCUAGGUUCUC